UCUGCGGGUAGCACAGGAGAGCUUCGCUCUUUGCGGUGACGAGUUGGCGGACGGGUGAGUAAUGUCUGGGAAACUGCCCGAUGGAGGGGGAUAACUACUGGAAACGGUAGCUAAUACCGCAUAACGUCGCAAGACCAAAGUGGGGGACCUUCGGGCCUCACACCAUCGGAUGUGCCCAGAUGGGAUUAGCUAGUAGGCGGGGUAAUGGCCCACCUAGGCGACGAUCCCUAGCUGGUCUGAGAGGAUGACCAGCCACACUGGAACUGAGACACGGUCCAGACUCCUACGGGAGGCAGCAGUGGGGAAUAUUGCACAAUGGGCGCAAGCCUGAUGCAGCCAUGCCGCGUGUAUGAAGAAGGCCUUCGGGUUGUAAAGUACUUUCAGCGGGGAGGAAGGCGAUGCGGUUAAUAACCGCGUCGAUUGACGUUACCCGCAGAAGAAGCACCGGCUAACUCCGUGCCAGCAGCCGCGGUAAUACGGAGGGUGCAAGCGUUAAUCGGAAUUACUGGGCGUAAAGCGCACGCAGGCGGUCUGUUAAGUCAGAUGUGAAAUCCCCGGGCUCAACCCGGGAACUGCAUUUGAAACUGGCAGGCUUGAGUCUCGUAGAGGGGGGUAGAAUUCCAGGUGUAGCGGUGAAAUGCGUAGAGAUCUGGAGGAAUACCGGUGGCGAANGCGGCCCCCUGGACGAAGACUGACGCUCAGGUGCGAAAGCGUGGGAGCAAACAGGAUUANAUACCCUGUAGUCCACGCCUAACGAUGUCGACUUGGAGGUUGUGCCCUUGAGCGUGGCUUCCGGACUCACGCGUUAAGUCACGCCUGGGGAGUACGGCCGCGAAACUCAAUGAUGACGGGGGCCCCACAGCGUGAGCAUGGUAUAUUCAGCACGCGAGCUUACUACUCUCGUCA
rnacentral:rRNA from 1 species